rnacentral:rRNA from 1 species
AUUGAACGCUGGCGGCAUGCUUUACACAUGCAAGUCGGACGGCAGCACAGAGAAGCUUGCUUCUUGGGUGGCGAGUGGCGAACGGGUGAGUAAUAUAUCGGAACGUACCGAGUAAUGGGGGAUAACUAAUCGAAAGAUUAGCUAAUACCGCAUAUUCUCUGAGGAGGAAAGCAGGGGACCUUCGGGCCUUGCGUUAUUCGAGCGGCCGAUAUCUGAUUAGCUAGUUGGUGGGGUAAAGGCCUACCAAGGCGACGAUCAGUAGCGGGUCUGAGAGGAUGAUCCGCCACACUGGGACUGAGACACGGCCCAGACUCCUACGGGAGGCAGCAGUGGGGAAUUUUGGACAAUGGGCGCAAGCCUGAUCCAGCCAUGCCGCGUGUCUGAAGAAGGCCUUCGGGUUGUAAAGGACUUUUGUCAGGGAAGAAAAGGCUGUUGCUAAUACCGGCAGCUGAUGACGGUACCUGAAGAAUAAGCACCGGCUAACUACGUGCCAGCAGCCGCGGUAAUACGUAGGGUGCGAGCGUUAAUCGGAAUUACUGGGGCGUAAAGCGAGCGCACACAGUUACUUAAGCAGGAUGUGAAAUCCCCGGGCUCAACCUGGGAACUGCGUUCUGAACUGGGUGACUAGAGUGUGUCGAGGGAGGUGAAUUCCACGUGUACGUGAAAUGCGUAGAGAUGUGGAGGAAUACCAUGGCGAAGGCGGCCUCCUGGGGGAACACUGACGUUCAUGCUCUAAACGGGGUAGGAACAGGGUAAUACCCUAGAGUCAAAGCGAAUCCCCCGUGGAGAUGGGCUGGCAAUGCCGCCACCCCCGGGGGGGGCGGGCGGGGGGGGUGGUGCCUUUGUGGGCGGUGGGUUGUGUGGUGCCUGAUCUCCCCUUAUUGGGUUCAGCGAGGUUUCCCUUAUGGGGUGGGGGGAUCAAAAGAACCGCCCCGCUGUAAAUUUGUGUUCGGAGUAGAGAAGAGAUGUCCCCGCCAUCUGCUUUUUAUAAACAAAGA